CCUACGGGAGGCAGCAGUAGGGAAUCUUCCGCAAUGGACGAAAGUCUGACGGAGCAACGCCGCGUGAGUGAUGAAGGUUUUCGGAUCGUAAAGCUCUGUUGUUAGGGAAGAACAAGUGCGAGAGUAACUGCUCGCACCUUGACGGUACCUAACCAGAAAGCCACGGCUAACUACGUGCCAGCAGCCGCGGUAAUACGUAGGUGGCAAGCGUUGUCCGGAAUUAUUGGGCGUAAAGGGCUCGCAGGCGGUUUCUUAAGUCUGAUGUGAAAGCCCCCGGCUCAACCGGGGAGGGUCAUUGGAAACUGGGAAACUUGAGUGCAGAAGAGGAGAGUGGAAUUCCACGUGUAGCGGUGAAAUGCGUAGAGAUGUGGAGGAACACCAGUGGCGAAGGCGACUCUCUGGUCUGUAACUGACGCUGAGGAGCGAAAGCGUGGGGAGCGAACAGGAUUAGAUACCCUGGUAGUCCACGCCGUAAACGAUGAGUGCUAAGUGUUAGGGGGUUUCCGCCCCUUAGUGCUGCAGCUAACGCAUUAAGCACUCCGCCUGGGGAGUACGGUCGCAAGACUGAAACUCAAAGGAAUUGACGGGGGCCCGCACAAGCGGUGGAGCAUGUGGUUUAAUUCGAAGCAACGCGAAGAACCUUAC
rnacentral:rRNA from 1 species